UACCCGCAGCACAAGUGGUGGUCAUUAUUAUUGGGCCUAAAGCGUCCGUAGCUGGCCUGUUAGAUGCCUGGGUAAAUCGAUGCGCUCAACGUAUCGAACUCCGGGUAGACCGGCAGGCUUGGGACCGGGAGAGGCGUGAGCUACUCGGGGGGUAGGGGUAAAAUCCUGUAAUCCUCCGGGGAGGACCAGUGGCGAAGGCGUCACGCUAGAACGGCUCCGGCAGUGAGGGACGAAGCCCUGGGGCGCAAACCGG
rnacentral:rRNA from 1 species